rfam:Cricetulus griseus cell line CHO-K1, whole genome shotgun sequence.
CCAAAGGCUCUUUUCAGAGCCACCUUCCAAUCUCAAGAAAGGAGCGU